UUUUGGUGCCCAUUAAGAUUCAAGAAAACAGGUAUUUUGGGUCUUAGUAUGUCAUGAGCUAGCUGGACCAAAUGGGUAAAAAACGGACUGAAACAAGGAAGGGACAACCUGGUCCAACUGGUGUGUUGAGGCAAAGGGCAGCUAAGUGUGUCCAACCUAGUUCUAAAACUUCCAAUAAAGUAGUGCUGGGAAAGAAUGAAAGAUGAAAGCCUACGCAAUUGCUGCAGUUUUGUGGACAGAAAAUGUCGCCCCGUUUACAUAUCCCAGCAUCUCACAACGGUCCAUAUGUGUUAGUGUAUGCGUCAUACGUCAUAUUACAUACGUAAUGUCAUGUGUGGACACACAUAUUAUGUGUGUGGCUGCUCCGUUCACUCAGAUGGUGGACAUUUACGGCUCGGUGCGGUGUCAGCACUGGGCGGUGGUGUUAUUGCGAGCCCAGAGCCUGAGCACCCUCACGUCCAGGGGCCCCCGGGAGCUGGUGUCUGUGCUUGUGGAGCACAGACACAAGCACAAGCACAAGUGUGGAGCACGCUCUCACACUUCUACAUCCGCUUUGACGAGAACCAGGAGCCCUGCGCCCUAGAGAACAGGAGGAUCAAGAUGAGGUGAACAACAACCACGACCGCAACAGCCCUCUGCUAGACUGGAGGAUUAGGGAGUUGUGGGUGGGAGUUGUAGUCAUAGACAUGUAGUCCAAUUGCAUUAUUCUGUAUGAAUUUGCCAUAACUGCUCAUAUGUAGUAGGAGUCCACCAUAUUGUGCUCAACUAUUUCAACUUUUUUCAGACCAGUGCAGAUGAAGGACAGGAGAAAAGGGAAGGAAGCUAUUGAGAUGCUGCGGUUUUGGUGAUGCCCUCUCAUUUUCUCCCUUCCUCUUUCCCUCCUUCUCUUCAUCUUUCCUCUCCCUUCCUCCCUCUCUAUCCAUCCUUCCUUCCCUCCUUCCAGGAGCUACUACACCUGUCUGAGCGCUACGUGCGACCCUGUGCCAGGUUGUGUUACUCAGAGCUCCCGGCACAAGAAGUCCCCUCAUCGCUGGCUGGAAUCAAGCCUUUCAGUGGCAGCCGGAGCGCACCCUGGUGGUGAACCUGCACAGCUACCACGCCGGCUUCCUGCAGCUCUUCCUGUGUGACAGACACAGCCAGGAGGACGUGUACAUCCACAGCGCCCUGCAGGGCCACGGGGCCACGGGGCCACGGGCUCAGCUGCGUCCCCGCCAUCAGCGCAGCAGUCGGUCACACACGC
ensembl:lncRNA